GGUUUCCCCGGGUUCUGUGGUGAUUUGUUGAGCCAUGUCACUGUGUAGGAUAAAUGCUAUGCAGCGAAGCACAGCUGUGCAUAGCUUUAUCUCUCAGGUUCCCAACCCCCAUCCUGCUUGUCAGCUCUGCUCUGGCAAUCACAGAGUUACUUUGCUCCGGGGAAAAUCCAUUAUAAACAGCAGCACAUGGGGCACUGGAGUGAGAUUUGCUUCAGUACACACGGCUUUCUUUCUAAAGACAAUAUGCAGCUGUUAGUUCUGCAUGGACCAGCAAGACUGACUAG
rnacentral:lncRNA from 1 species